rnacentral:rRNA from 1 species
GAUGAACGCUGGCGGCGUGCCUAAUACAUGCAAGUCGAGCGAACGGACGAGAAGCUUGCUUCUCUGAUGUUAGCGGCGGACGGGUGAGUAACACGUGGAUAACCUACCUAUAAGACUGGGAUAACUUCGGGAAACCGGAGCUAAUACCGGAUAAUAUUAUGAACCGCAUGGUUCAAAAGUGAAAGACGGUCUUGCUGUCACUUAUAGAUGGAUCCGCGCUGCAUUAGCUAGUUGGUAAGGUAACGGCUUACCAAGGCAACGAUGCAUAGCCGACCUGAGAGGGUGAUCGGCCACACUGGAACUGAGACACGGUCCAGACUCCUACGGGAGGCAGCAGUAGGGAAUCUUCCGCAAUGGGCGAAAGCCUGACGGAGCAACGCCGCGUGAGUGAUGAAGGUCUUCGGAUCGUAAAACUCUGUUAUUAGGGAAGAACAGAUGUGUAAGUAACUGUGCACAUCUUGACGGUACCUAAUCAGAAAGCCACGGCUAACUACGUG